AUUACCGAGUGCGGGUCCUUUGGGCCCAACCUCCCAUCCGUGUCUAUUGUACCCUGUUUGCUUCGGCGGGCCCGCCGCUUGUCGGCCGCCGGGGGGGCGCCUCUGCCCCCCGGGCCCGUGCCCGCCGGAGACCCCAACACGAACACUGUCUGAAAGCGUGCAGUCUGAGUUGAUUGAAUGCAAUCAGUUAAAACUUUCAACAAUGGAUCUCUUGGUUCCGGCAUCGAUGAAGAACGCAGCGAAAUGCGAUAACUAAUGUGAAUUGCAGAAUUCAGUGAAUCAUCGAGUCUUUGAACGCACAUUGCGCCCCCUGGUAUUCCGGGGGGCAUGCCUGUCCGAGCGUCAUUGCUGCCCUCAAGCCCGGCUUGUGUGUUGGGUCGCCGUCCCCCUCUCCGGGGGGACGGGCCCGAAAGGCAGCGGCGGCACCGCGUCCGAUCCUCGAGCGUAUGGGGCUUUGUCACAUGCUCUGUAGGAUUGGCCGGCGCCUGCCGACGUUUUCCAACCAUUCUUUCCAGGUUGACCUCGGAUCAGGUAGGGAUACCCGCUGAACUUAAGCAUAUCAAUAAGCGGAGGAA
rnacentral:rRNA from 1 species